ACGGGAGGCAGCAGUGGGGGAUAUUGCACAAUGGGGGAAACCCUGAUGCAGCGACGCCGCGUGAGUGAAGAAGUAUUUCGGUAUGUAAAGCUCUAUCAGCAGGGAAGAAAAUGACGGUACCUGACUAAGAAGCCCCGGCUAACUACGUGCCAGCAGCCGCGGUAAUACGUAGGGGGCAAGCGUUAUCCGGAUUUACUGGGUGUAAAGGGAGCGUAGACGGCAAAUCAAGUCUGAAGUGAAAGCCCGCGGCUCAACUGCGGAACUGCUUUGGAAACUGAUUAGCUAGAGUGUCGGAGAGGUGAGUGGAAUUCCCAGUGUAGCGGUGAGAUGCGUAGAUAUUGGGAGGAACACCGGUGGCGAAGGCGGCUCACUGGACGAUAACUGACGUUGAUGCUCGAAAGCGUGGGGAGCAAACAGGAUUAGAUACCCUGGUA
rnacentral:rRNA from 1 species